AGGGUUUGAUCAUGGCUCAGGACGAACGCUGGCGGCAUGCCUAACACAUGCAAGUCGAACGAGAUCUUCGGGUCUAAUGGCGCACGGGUGCGUAACGCGUGGGAAUCUGCCCUUUGGUUCGGAAUAACAGUUGGAAACGACUGCUAAUACCGGAUGAUGACGAAAGUCCAAAGAUUUAUCGCCAGAGGAUGAGCCCGCGUAGGAUUAGCUAGUUGGUGUGAUAAAGGCGCACCAAGGCGACGAUCCUUAGCUGGUCUGAGAGGAUGAUCAGCCACACUGGGACUGAGACACGGCCCAGACUCCUACGGGAGGCAGCAGUGGGGAAUAUUGGACAAUGGGCGAAAGCCUGAUCCAGCAAUGCCGCGUGAGUGAUGAAGGCCUUAGGGUUGUAAAGCUCUUUUACCCGGGAUGAUAAUGACAGUACCGGGAGAAUAAGCUCCGGCUAACUCCGUGCCAGCCGCCGCGGUAAUAC
rnacentral:rRNA from 1 species